AGCCUUGAAUACUAUUUGAAUUGCAAGUUCAGAGAAGCAGCUGUAAACUCUGCCAGGGCUU
ensembl:Mt_tRNA